AACACCCUUCUCACCCAAGGGAUUUUAAAAGCCAAUCCCACCCCCUCCCCACAACCCUUUCCCCUAGCACUCAUUUCCCAUCUCUUCACAAAAUUGCCAGGGUAAUUGACUCUUAGAUGAGAUGAGUUUGACUUUCUACCCUGAUUUUGUAACAGAAGUUCUUUUGGUGCAUAAUUGGCCAAGUGCUCCAGGGGUUAUAAAGACUGCCUUCCUGUAGCUGGAAUAGACAGAUUUAGCCUCUUACUGAAACUGAAGGCUGCAAUGGCGAUAACAAAUCUGAUUCUAACUCUCCCAUGUCACUGCUGCCCAAAGGUGCCUUUGUCUCCCAGGAGAAAGAGGUUGGAGACUGUAUGUUCCAUGAAAGAAGGGGCCACCAAGUAUAUACACAGUUCCUGGUAUAAUCUUGGCUCAUAAUAGGCUCUCGAUAAAUGUUUGCUGGAAAGCGUGGUGACAGAAGAUCC
ensembl:lncRNA